rnacentral:rRNA from 1 species
UACAGAGGGGGCAAGCGUUGUUCGGAAUUACUGGGCGUAAAGGGCGCGUAGGCGGCCCGCUAAGUCGAACGUGAAAUCCCCGAGCUCAACUCGGGAACUGCGUCCGAUACUGGCGGGCUUGAAUCCGGGAGAGGGAUGCGGAAUUCCAGGUGUAGCGGUGAAAUGCGUGGAUAUCUGGAGGAACACCGGUGGCGAAGGCGGCAUCCUGGACCGGCAUUGACGCUGAGGCGCGAAAGCUAGGGGAGCAAACGGG